rnacentral:rRNA from 1 species
GACGAACGCUGGCGGCGUGCCUAAUACAUGCAAGUCGAACGCUUCUUUCCUCCCGAGUGCUUGCACUCAAUUGGAAAGAGGAGUGGCGGACGGGUGAGUAACACGUGGGUAACCUACCCAUCAGAGGGGGAUAACACUUGGAAACAGGUGCUAAUACCGCAUAACAGUUUAUGCCGCAUGGCAUAAGAGUGAAAGGCGCUUUCGGGUGUCGCUGAUGGAUGGACCCGCGGUGCAUUAGCUAGUUGGUGAGGUAACGGCUCACCAAGGCCACGAUGCAUAGCCGACCUGAGAGGGUGAUCGGCCACACUGGAACUGAGACACGGCCCAGACUCCUACGGGAGGCAGCAGUAGGGAAUCUUCGGCAAUGGACGAAAGUCUGACCGAGCAACGCCGCGUGAGUGAAGAAGGUUUUCGGAUCGUAAAACUCUGUUGUUAGAGAAGAACAAGGACGUUAGUAACUGAACGUCCCCUGACGGUAUCUAACCAGAAAGCCACGGCUAACUACGUG